AACACGCUCUUCUCAAAUCUUCU
rnacentral:siRNA from 1 species